rnacentral:rRNA from 1 species
AGGAUAAACGCUGGCGGCGUGCCUAACACAUGCAAGUCGAACGUCCUACGCAAGUAGGGAGUGGCGGACGGGUGAGUAACACGUGGGCAAUCUACCUUUCGGUGAGGAAUACCGGCGAGAAAUCGCCGACAAUACCGCAUACGCUUCGCAAGAAGCAAAGUCGCAAGACGCCGGAGGAGGAGCCUGCGCCCGAUUAGCUGGUUGGUGGAGUAAUGGUCUACCAAGGCGACGAUCGGUAGCUGGUCUGAGAGGAUGAUCAGCCACACUGGGAUUGAGAACGGCCCAGACUCCUACGGGGGGCAGCAGUGAGGAAUUUUCCGCAAUGGGCGAAAGCCUGACGGAGCGACGCCGCGUGCACGAGGAAGGCCUUCGGGUCGUAAAGUGCUGUCGAGGGGGACGAGUUAUGACGGUACCCCUGGAGGAAGCCCCGGCUAACUACGUGCCAGCAGCCGC